rnacentral:rRNA from 1 species
GACGAACGCUGGCGGCGUGCCUAAUACAUGCAAGUAGAACGCUGAAGCGAGGAGCUUGCUCUUCUUGGAUGAGUUGCGAACGGGUGAGUAACGCGUAAGUAACCUGCCUUGUAGCGGGGGAUAACUAUUGGAAACGAUAGCUAAUACCGCAUAACAAUGGAUGACACAUGUCAUUUAUUUGAAAGGGGCAAUUGCUCCACUACAAGAUGGACCUGCGUUGUAUUAGCUAGUAGGUGAGGUAACGGCUCACCUAGGCGACGAUACAUAGCCGACCUGAGAGGGUGAUCGGCCACACUGGGACUGAGACACGGCCCAGACUCCUACGGGAGGCAGCAGUAGGGAAUCUUCGGCAAUGGGGGCAACCCUGACCGAGCAACGCCGCGUGAGUGAAGAAGGUUUUCGGAUCGUAAAGCUCUGUUGUAAGUCAAGAACGAGUGUGAGAGUGGAAAGUUCACACUGUGACGGUAGCUUACCAGAAAGGGACGGCUAACUACGUG